ACCGGAGCUGUUCCUAUUCGGCCAUCUUGGCUCUUCCCCCGGUAUUUUGCCACUCUAUCAAGAAAGUUAAGGACUCUCAAGCUUUUGGAUGCUUAGAAAAUACAUCAGAGGAGGACAGAAACUCAGAUAUCUCUGCAUCCUGAAUUCAUUGGUGGAAUUGCUACUGUGCCCAGUAAAAGCAUUUCAGUCAUGCAAGGAGAGGAUGUUAAGGUAAAGGAAUGAAACCGAAGACCAGAAAGUGGUAAAAAGCAGCAGUGAAGAAACCAAAACUAAAACAAACCAGCAAAGACCAUAUUCAGCUCACAGCCUUUCAGGAACUGAAGUAGAUCAUUGGCCCAGACUCUCCACUGAAUCCGAAGAAUGCUUUGCAGGGGAUGUUCAGAGGCUUACCUGAGAAUGAGAGAAAAAGAAAUGAGCAAAUGACUCCUGAUUAUCAGUGGGAGACAGGAAGCGACCAUUUAACAUCCAAAGGAAAACUCAGAGCUAAAACCAAGACUCUUGAUUUGAGAGACAGAGGAACCUGUGAUAUUCUUUGCAAAAUUUGUCAACUGUACACCCUGUGAAAAGAGAGAAGAGAACCAAAAGACCUCUCGAGCAAAAGAUAUUGCCACAAAGUCCUCCAGAAACCAUACCACUUCUUGACAGUGCAUGGAUUCUCUUCCAUUCCAUUAGCAUCAGUGAUACUUUUAAUGGGUGUGGAAGGCCGUGAGAACUGGAAGCUGUUCUGCCACUAUCAAAGGGGGCUCACCUGAUUUGGAAAAGUGAGCACUGGCAACACCCAUGCCCAACCGUGUUGUCAGUGGAAGUGAUCAUCUUGGACACAAGAUGUUGCUCUUGUUAAUUGCACUCUGCAAGUGGUAAGCAUCUGGACCUGCAUUUCAUUACAAAACUACCAAAACAGAAUUCUAUAUCCAGUGAAACUAUCCUUCAAAAAUGAAGGCUAAAUAAGGAUGUUCCCAGAUUAAUAAAGACUGAGAGAAUUUGCUGUUAGCAAAUCUACCUUCUAAGAAAUACUAAAGGAAGACCUUCAAUGCUGAAAGGAAAUGACACCAGAUCCAGAACUACGGGAAGAAAUGUAGAGCAACGGAAAAGGGCUGGGCCAUACAGUAUGUACUCAAGAUUUAGUAGUUAAUUGACUGAUUGAACUUUAUAGAGAAGUACAGAUACAAUAUUACGGAAAUUCAGAGGAGAGAAAUUACUAACAACUUGAGCAGGUGGAAAAGCAUUGAAGCUUGGUAGAGAAGAUGGUGGAACUGUGCAGCAUUGAGACAUGUCCAGUUGGAGAGAUAUGAAGCUGGGUGAAAGUAGUACAAGAGGAGGCAACUGAAUGUACAACGGCAAAGAGAAAGAAGAAUCAGUGGAUGUGCAGAGGAAAGAGUGUGCAGGGAGAUCUUUAAAAAGCAUCUAUAACCCACUGAAUAAGAUGGGUUAGAAGAUGAAGCUGCUGAGAAGUGCUGCAAAGCUGAUGGUAUUGAUAUCAACACAGACAUCAUAUGCUUUUGGGGAACAGUGCACUCAGUUGACACUUAUUCCUAAUAAAUUCAAACAGUGGAGAGUUCUCUAACUUAUUUUUAAAGUCUCUUUAAUCUAUACUUCCUAUUGUUGAAUGAUACAAAUUAGUUUCUUGAUCUCUGUUCAGAUACUGGGUUACAUACAAUUUUUGGCCAUUUAAGUAUACUGUAAAUCCCUCCAGAAAACUUUCUUAUAUUGUCUUGUGCUUCACAGCUAGUUUUCAGGCAUAUGUACUGCUUACAAAUUAGUUUGGUAUUUAAAAAGGAGUUGUGGCUUGAGUUACAAAGAUUUAAAGUUAAAGCAAUGCUCUUAAUAAUUUCUAUUUUCUCACUGAAUCAAUUCACACUAGACACCCCUUUAACUUCCAUAUACAUGAUCACUCACCUUCUGUCCAAAAAUCUAUUUUAGGAAAGAGCAGAAGUACAAGAGGACCUUGUAAACAAUACUACUAAUAUUAGUAGGAAUACGGCAAGGUUUAAGAGUGACAACUUUAGCUUCACUACUUUCAAGCUGCUUACUAGCUGGGACAAGUUGUAUAAAUUCUCCGAGCCCAUUUUCCUCAUUUAAAAAAGGGGCCAUAGACAUUUUUCCAAAGACAUACAAAUGGCCAACAAGCACAUGAAAAGAUGCUCAAUAUAGUUAACCAUUAGGGAAAUAUAAAUAAAAAACACAAUUUCAACCACAAUAGUACUACAUACACAUUAGAAUAAUUAUGUUAAAAAUAAAAAAAUAACAAGUGCUUUCAAGAAUGUAGAGAAAUUGGAACCUCUGCAUUACUGAUAGGAAUGUAAAAUGGUACAGUCUCUUUGGAAAGCAGUCUGAUAGUUCCUCAAAAGGUUAGACAUAGAAUGACCGAAUGACCCAGCAAUUCUACUCCUAGGUAUACACAAGAGAAAUGGAAACAUAUGUCCACACAUAAAUUUGUACAUGAAUGCUCACAGCAGCAUUGUUCAUAAGAGCCACAGAAUACAAAUGAUCAAAAUGUCAGUCAACUAACUAAUGAAUAAAUAAAAUGUGGUCGAUUAUUAUUUAGCAAUGAAAAGGAGUGAAGUACUUAUACAUGCAAUAACAAUGACUGAACCUUGAUAACACUAUGCUAAAUGUAAGAAGCCUAUCACAAAAGACCACAUGUUACAUAUUUUAUUCAUAUUAAAUAUCCAGAAUAGGCAAAUCUAUAGUUACAGAUAGUUGAUUAAUAACUACCUAAAGCUGAGGAUGGGGUGAGGCUGAGGGACUGAGGAGUGACUGUCAAUGGGUACAGAGUUUCUUUCUGGGGUGUUGAAAAUGUUAUGAAAUUCUGGUGAUGCUUGCACAACAUCGUGAAUAGACCAAAAAUCAUUGAAAUGGAUGUUUUAAAUUGCCAAUUGUACGGUAUAUGACUAAUAUAAUAAUAAAACUGUUAAAAUGAGGCAAGUAGUUGGGUUUAUCACAAAGAGUUGCUGGGAAAAUUAAAUAAAAUAAGCUAUAUAAAGUAUUUAAUAUAGUGCCUAGUACCCUGUAAGCAAUCAAUAAGUGACAGCUCCACCACCACCACCACUGCCACUACUACUACUACUGAUAUUAUCACUACAAAUAAUAAUAAUUAUUAUUAGUAGUAGAAUUAUUAUUAAAUAAGAUUAUAAUAAUAAUUGCUAUUCUUAGCAGUACUAGAAAUGUUAUUAAAUUAUACUAAGUAGAGUAAUAACAUUAUUAUUUGUAAUAGUAGAGCUGUUAUUAAAUAAUAAUUACUAUAGUUGUUAAUAUUAUUUAGCUGUCCUUAUUAGAAUGAUAGUUUUUUCCUAGGAUAGAGUUUGGGGUCUAGAUAAUGUUACCAUACCCAGUGUGCUAUAAUAAAAAGAAAAAACUUCGGAGUGAAACAGAUCUUGUUGAAAUCCCAUCUUUGUCACUUACUAAUUAUGUAACAUCAUGUAAGCUAUUUCACCUGUCUGUGGUUACGUUUCCUCAUCUGCAAAAUAAUUCAACAAUAUCUACUACUACUUUGAGCUCUUAUGAGUAAUAAGACACUGUAUGUGCAAAUACCCAUUUUAGUGCCUAGUACCUAGUAAAUUCUCAAAUAAUUUUGGUUUCAAAUAUAUGAAAUAAUGGUUUUGGCUUUUUAAAAAUAUGAUGAAACACCAUCAAACUUGUAUCAGUAUCUCAAUAAGACAUAAGCCUAAGCAAUGCCCCCAAACACCAAUGUAUGCAUAGAGGACUGGUUAACAAUCAUGCUAUUUAAGAGAUGUUCGUAAUCACAUUGUUAGAUUAUAACAGACACUAUUUAGUAAACUGUUAACUUUUUUCCCAUUUCAUUCUUAAAAAUCUCAAAACAAGCACAGCUGUUAUAGAAACUUAGACAAAGUAAGGGAACCAGUUUCAGUCUCACUCAAUACUGCAGCCAACUCUUAAGGAAAAGGCUUGGUCCAGAUUUUCCAAAGCUGUAAAUAAUGCACAUGGUAUAUGAUCUGGGCAAUAGAAUGGUUUUCAGUUUGGGGUAGCUCACGCUAAGCUUGUGCGUGUUAUCCUGAAUAAAUAGGUCUUUUGGAAACAACUCACUAACCCUAGAAUGUCUACAAGGGUGAGGAAAUUCUGCCAUGAACUAGCUCCCAUUACGUGUGCCAAGAAAACUGAGUUAGUUCAUAAUACCCUCCUUCUUACUCUCCAAAGUCUCCAUAGUGUUCAGUUAUUCAAGAUUACAUAAAAGUUUUUAAGGAGUUAUUUGAAACUAAGAGGGUAAGAAUAUGAUAUAAAAAAUUUAAAAAAUCCCUUGCUUCCACCAUUAUACACACAAUGCAUAUACCAAGUUAUGACUCCAGCUAAUGAAAUAACCAUGUAUUACUAUUUGCAUUAACAAUAAUUCUACUUCAUCCAUGUCCCUACAAAGGACAUGAACUCAUCCUUUUUUAUGGCUGCAUAGUAUUCCAUGGUGUAUAUGUGCCACAUUUUCUUCUUAAAGUAUAAAAAAAAAUAAAAAUAAAAAAAUAAAAAAUACAAUAAUUCUAGUUUGACAUUUAGCUCAGUUGUUGACUUGCUUUGGAUUGUUCAUUUUAUUUCAACUUUAGAAGGAGUUGAUUAAUUUUGUUAAACUUAAUUGAUUCAAGGGUAUCAUAAAUUUCCAUUUUUAGUAUUUGCCACAUUAAAGCAAAUGGUGGACAAUUUAUGAUUUCAAAAGGUUCUAUUCUUGGUAAUUCUUAAUUAUUUUCAGAUAAAUCUAGUAAUUGGGUUGAAGCUACAGAGUUUUGUCAUUGUUUUUAGUGAAAGCCUAAGCAUAUAGAACAUGAGGUCCUGCCACAAGAAAAAUCAUUUUCCUUUUUCCCUCUUUUGGCAGUUCUCAUAUUGCGAUGCAAUUCUACUUAUGCACAUCUGUUUCCCCACUAGAUUGAGAACUCCUUAAGGCCAAGAAAUUCAUUUAAUUCACCUCUGUAUUUUCAGGAGCUAAUAUGCUGGCAUCCAGUAAGAACUCAAUAAAUGUUUUUAGGUAAAUAAUGUUUUAUAAAAAACAUAAAUUUAGU
rnacentral:lncRNA from 1 species